GACGAACGCUGGCGGCGUGCUUAACACAUGCAAGUCGAACGAAGUGGCGAACGGGUGAGUAACGCGUCAUCAACCUGCCCUUCAGAGGGGGACAACAGUUGGCAACGACUGCUAAUACCGCAUACUGAAGUAGGUGGUUGCGUCUGAUUCGCUGGUUGGAGGGGUAACGGCCCACCAAGGCGAUGGUCAGUAGCCGGGUUGGGGGGGUGAACGGCAACAAUGGGACUGAGAAACGGCCCAGACGCCUACGGGGGGCAGCAGUGGGGAAUCUUCGGAAAUGGACGAAAGUCUGACGGAGCAACGCCGCGGGAGUGAGGACGGCCUUCGGGUUGUAAAGCUCUGUUAAUCGGGACGCGGUACCGGAAUAGAAAGCCACGGCUAACUACGUGCCAGCAGCCGCGGUAAUUC
rnacentral:rRNA from 1 species